GGAAGUUGUUGAAAAAUUGUCGCAAAAGUCGUACAAAAAAUCUGAAAAUCUGGACAGAUUUUCAGAUUUUUUGGACGAUUUUUGCGGCAAUUUUUCGGUCGAAUCC
rnacentral:miRNA from 1 species